AAUAUUAGUCACAUUCUACAGAUGAGGACACUAAGGCUGAGUGGCUUAAUAAUCUUCAGCGAUCUUAAUUCCUGGCAGGAAUCCUUUGAAGGGAUAAAAGAAGUAAUCAGAGACCUGUCCACGGUGACAAUAGGGUCAAGGGUUAACCUCAUCCCCAUCCUCCACCACAGCUGGUGCCUGCUUCUAUUUGACUCAUAACAGACUGCAUUGGAAUCAUCUGUUUGCUUGUCUGUUUCUCUACCACUCAAUAAGCUCCUGAGGGGCCUCAUUAUCUCUCCAAUGCCUGGAUUAUAGUGUUGUUAAAUAAAUUUCCAUAGAAUUGAACAGACACAGUUCAGAGGCCAAAAGAUCAAAGAUUCAGCAAAAGAAGGCCCCGAAGUGCGUGCUGAUUCCAGAAGAGAGGCUGCUUGUCUGUUUGGGAAGAAAAACCUCCCAACUCUUGCUUAUGAUCUCUGGUCCUAUCUCUUUUUCUCCUGCAUCAGUGAGUAGGGGGUUUGGCAAUUUAAAACAUUUUUAUUUUUAUUGUUUUGAAUCGGGCAGCCUCCAGAAUCACAGCAGAUUCAAAGAGAUUCCCUCGGGGUGGCAAUUUUACCUACUCUCAGCUCAGGGCUGCCUCUGCUCAGCAGACAUUAGACAACAGUGCUGAGAAUAUUUUCCUCCUAAUAAGAAAAUUCCAAUCACAAUGAUCAUGCUCAGAUACCUAAAGAGCUGCUGGAAUCUGACCUCCGAAUACCUGGGGAAUUACUAUACUGUGAAAAAAGGCAGUCUGAAGAAAGAAAGGACAAUAAG